AUUGAACGCUGGCGGCAGGCCUAACACAUGCAAGUCGAACGAGUGGCGGACGGGUGAGUAAUACAUCGGAAUCUACCUUGUCGCGGGGGAUAACCACGGGAAACGGUCGCUAAUACCGCAUACCAUUGAAUGUGCCGUUGUGGGAUUAGCUAGUUGGUGGGGUAAUGGCUCACCAAGUCGACGAUCCGUAGCUGGUCUGAGAGGAUGAUCGGCCACACUGGAACUGAGACACGGUCCAGACUCCUACGUGAGGCAGCAGUGGGGAAUAUUGGACAAUGGGCGCAAGCCUGAUCCAGCCAUGCCGCGUGGGUGAGGAAGGCCUUCGGGUUGUAAAGCCCUUUAAGUGGGGAGGCGUUACCAACAGAAUAAGCACCGACUAACUUCGUGCCAGCAGCCGCGGUAAUUC
rnacentral:rRNA from 1 species